GACGUGGUACUGUUUGCUGCCAAAACAAGUGGGCUGACAAGUCGAAUCCCGAAGCUCGCCGAAGCCUGAACGUCAAUGUGGGUCUUUUGCUGCGUUCGAAAUCGUUAUUUGUCCGCAUUGAGCAACUUGAUAUUUGUCAAACUUUUGGUCGAUCAAAAUUUCACACAAAUUUCACAGCAAUAGUUCAACCCUCCCCGAUCCCUUACAUAAAUGUCCAAUUCUGAUUUUGGAAAUUGCAAUCCUCCAGUAUGUGAGAAUAAAUGAGGAAACUAAUGAAAGAUUUGACUAAGUAGGCACCCACAACAGAUGCUACACUUUCAUUAUACCUAAUUGCAAUGGUAAAUUUCCAAAUAUUGAGUAUCAGUAAACAAAACUGAGCCAUGAUAUCUCAUUAGGCAACAAAAUUUCGACUGUCCAAAAAGUAACUAAUGAAAAGGCAAUAAAAAAUUCUUACCAGGAAAGUUGGACAAGUUGCUUGUUCUUCUCAAAUCCCAAUAUUUGCAGGUACAUAACAACAAUCUAGGACAACAAACCAUGAUUACAUGAAUUAUGUAAUGAAGACACAAUAAACCUAAUGAAAAUUA